AUUGAACGCUGGCGGCAUGCUUUACACAUGCAAGUCGAACGGCAGCACGGGUGCUUGCACCUGGUGGCGAGUGGCGGACGGGUGAGUAAUGCAUCGGAACGUGUCCUGAAGUGGGGGAUAACGCAUCGAAAGAUGUGCUAAUACCGCAUAUUCUCUGAGGAGAAAAGUAGGGGAUCGAAAGACCUUAUGCUUUUGGAGCGGCCGAUGUCUGAUUAGCUAGUUGGUAAGGUAAUGGCUUACCAAGGCAACGAUCAGUAGUUGGUCUGAGAGGACGGCCAGCCACACUGGGACUGAGACACGGCCCAGACUCCUACGGGAGGCAGCAGUGGGGAAUUUUGGACAAUGGGCGCAAGCCUGAUCCAGCAAUGCCGCGUGAGUGAAGAAGG
rnacentral:rRNA from 1 species